rnacentral:rRNA from 1 species
AAGGCCGAGAGCUGAUGACGAGUUGCCUUUAGGCGACGAAGUGGUUGAUGCCAUGCUUCCAAGAAAAGCUUCUAAGCUUCAGAUAACCAGGAACCGUACCCCAAACCGACACAGGUGGUUGGGUAGAGAAUACCAAGGCGCUUGAGAGAACUCGGGUGAAGGAACUAGGCAAAAUGGCACCGUAACUUCGGGAGAAGGUGCGCCGGUGAGGGUGAAGGACUUGCUCCGUAAGCCCAUGCCGGUCGAAGAUACCAGGCCGCUGCGACUGUUUAUUAAAAACACAGCACUCUGCAAACACGAAAGUGGACGUAUAGGGUGUGACGCCUGCCCGGUGCCGGAAGGUUAAUUGAUGGGGUUAGCUAACGCGAAGCUCUUGAUCGAAGCCCCGGUAAACGGCGGCCGUAACUAUAACGGUCCUAAGGUAGCGAAAUUCCUUGUCGGGUAAGUUCCGACCUGCACGAAUGGCGUAACGAUGGCGGCGCUGUCUCCACCCGAGACUCAGUGAAAUUGAAAUCGCUGUGAAGAUGCAGUGUAUCCGCGGCUAGACGGAAAGACCCCGUGAACCUUUACUAUAGCUUUGCACUGGACUUUGAAUUUGCUUGUGUAGGAUAGGUGGGAGGCUUUGAAGCGUGGACGCCAGUUCGCGUGGAGCCAUCCUUGAAAUACCACCCUGGCAACUUUGAGGUUCUAACUCAGGUCCGUUAUCCGGAUCGAGGACAGUGUAUGGUGGGUAGUUUGACUGGGGCGGUCUCCUCCUAAAGAGUAACGGAGGAGUACGAAGGUGCGCUCAGACCGGUCGGAAAUCGGUCGCAGAGUAUAAAGGCAAAAGCGCGCUUGACUGCGAGACAGACACGUCGAGCAGGUACGAAAGUAGGUCUUAGUGAUCCGGUGGUUCUGUAUGGAAGGGCCAUCGCUCAACGGAUAAAAGGUACUCCGGGGAUAACAGGCUGAUACCGCCCAAGAGUUCAUAUCGACGGCGGUGUUUGGCACCUCGAUGUCGGCUCAUCACAUCCUGGGGCUGAAGCCGGUCCCAAGGGUAUGGCUGUUCGCCAUUUAAAGUGGUACGCGAGCUGGGUUUAGAACGUCGUGAGACAGUUCGGUCCCUAUCUGCCGUGGACGUUUGAGAUUUGAGAGGGGCUGCUCCUAGUACGAGAGGACCGGAGUGGACGAACCUCUGGUGUUCCGGUUGUCACGCCAGUGGCAUUGCCGGGUAGCUAUGUUCGGGAGAGAUAACCGCUGAAAGCAUCUAAGCGGGAAACUUGCCUCAAGAUGAGAUCUCACUGGAACCUUGAGUUCCCUGAAGGGCCGUCGAAGACUACGACGUUGAUAGGUUGGGUGUGUAAGCGCUGUGAGGCGUUGAGCUAACCAAUACUAAUUGCCCGUGAGGCUUGACCAUAUAACACCCAAGCAAUU